UACGAAGGGUGCAAGCGUUACUCGGAAUUACUGGGCGUAAAGCGUGCGUAGGCGGUUUGUUAAGUCCGCUGUGAAAGCCCUGGGCUCAACCUGGGAAUUGCAGUGGAUACUGGCAAGCUAGAGUGCGGUAGAGGAUGGUGGAAUUGACGGUGUAGCGGUGAAAUGCAUAGAUAUCGUCAAGAACACCGAUAGCGAAGGCAGCUUACUGGGCUGUAACUGACGCUGAUGCACGAAGGUGUGGGGAUCAAACAGG
rnacentral:rRNA from 1 species